rnacentral:misc_RNA from 1 species
GAUGAAGAACGUAGUGAAAGGCGAUAAGUAGUGUGAAUUGCAGAAUUCAGUGAAUCAUCGAAUCUUUGAACGCACAUUGCGCCCCUUGGUAUCCCGAGGGGCAUGCCUGUUCGAGCGUCAUUUCACCACUCAAGCCUGGCUUGGUGUUGGGCGACGUCCUCUUUGGGGACGCGCCUCGAAACGCUCGGCGGCGUGGCACCGGCUUUAAGCGUAGCAGAAUCUUUCGCUUUGGAAGUCGGGGCCCCGUCUGCCGGAAGACCUGCUCGCAAGGUUGACCUCGGAUCAGGCAGGGAUACCCGCUGAACUUAAGCAUAUCAAUAAGCGGAGGA